UAUGGCCAUAUCACGCUGAAUUACUGGUUCCCAUACGAUCUCCGAGGUUAAGCAAUGUUGAGUCUGGUCAGUACCAGGAUUACUUGGGAAUAACUGGUGCUGUAAG